UAACAAAACUAAAUAUGUCUGCCUAGGCUGCUUCUUUAAAGCAACAAUGCAGCAUUUGUACAGCUUGAUAAGCAAACUCAAAUAGUUCUAGUAGAUUGGAAAUGAAAGAGAUUUGUGUGGACUUUUGGAAAAUGCAUUGUUUUAAUCUAGCUAACUUCCAAAGGGAGGGAGAAGGAGACAGAACCAAAUUCCUUUCUCUUGACUUUCACAAGCCCCGUUCAGAAAGUGCCGUUGAUUUUCCUUCUAAAGUGGAGACGGAAAGCAAAGUAUUCUUUGGCAGAGUACCUCGAAUGAUUUCUAGUGUGAUUUGGAAGCUCACGUGCUGCAUGUGUCAACUUUAUUCUUUUCUCUUUCCCACUUGUGUAGCAAUUGAGAUAUCUAGAACCAGAGCAAGAGUUUUCCCAAAUUAUCCAUUUUCAAGUGCUCUGGAACUUCAGGAAGGCAUGCAAUAUUAACUCCCAUGAUCGGGGAGCAUUCUGUAAAACACGUACAAAAUGGAUCGGCUUGAUGCCCACAAAGGCUAAAGUGUCCCAGGCAUGCAUCUUGUAAAAGCACAAGAUGGUUAAUUCAAUUGACCUUAAUUAACAAGUCAAGCUAAAAUUUGUAUCACCUAUGGUAAGUAUGAAAUCAGCAUCGUGACAAUAGCUUGCGAAUGUCAUCCCUGAACUCAUCAAUCCCAUCAUUCAUGCUAUCCAGCGAUGUCCGCGAGACUCAAGAUCAACCACUCGUUAAUUUGAUUCUGUCUGUUUGGAAUUUGAUUUUUAAAAAAAAAAGGCAGCAGCAAACAGAAAAUCAGCAUAGCGUUUUGGAUACUAUAAAAGUAAGUAGACGACUCCGUCUUCGUAAACAAUCACUGGUUCAAGCAUAUAUAGGCCGAUCAACAUGUGUACCUGCAUGAAAUUAUGGCGAUGCCUUUGCUGCAGAAAUGCAAGCAAGAAAGAGAAGAAAACAGACUGCCUUGACGUGAUCCUAGCAAUCUUGCUGCCUCCAGCUGGGAUAUAUAGAAAGGAAGGCUGCUCGGGCAAUUUCUGGACUAACGUAUUUCUGACGGUGACUGGGUACGUGCCGGGAAGCGUCCAUGCUGUCAUUGUCAUAUCUUCGAAUUGAACUUUAUAACCUUAUACAUCGAACUGUAAAAGAUUACGUACUUGACGAAGGGUUUCCUCUCUUUUAUUGUAUGUCUUGCUGAACCUUUUCUCCACGUUUUGUAUAAACGGCAUGGAGUGUUGGCCGGACAACGGCGUUGCUCGUGCCAAGAAGCGUCUACCGGCGGGUGAUAUAGGUACAAACAAGGAAAUCAAGUGAACAAGAUAAACUUUAAUUUUGACCAUGAAUAUAAUGUUUGGGUGAAUGAAUCCUGUGUUCUUGAAUGCCUCAAACAAGAAUAAAGGUCGCUUCUUGUUCUUGUUUUGAAAA